AGAAUUAACUGAUGGUACCCAGCUGUCUUCCAGUUUCAUGGCAAAGAGAAACAUUGCAUGCCACACUGGAGAUGCUGAUCUUGAUUUUUUAAUCAUACCUGUGUGAAUCUGCUUUUGUGGUACACAAAAUCUGGUACUGAUUAAAUUCAAAGAAUAUCUGAUCUAUUAUUAAGGUAUCCUAGAAGUAUAGCUAGGAGUACUAUAAAGACUAUAUAUACAGUAGCUAGACAUUUCAGAAACUGUUUAUAUAUAUAUAUAAUGCUCUGUACUGUUGCAUUUUAUUUUCAGACG